rnacentral:lncRNA from 1 species
CCCAACCUUACAAAUUGACAUCGUAGAGCCUUUAUCAUUUUCCGUAGUAUCUUUGUCAUAUCGUUUUUAGUUGUUUAUUUAUUCAUCUACAUAUUAUUUACGUAGUUAUUCUCGUAAUUGUCGUUGCAUUUUUACUCUUACUUUGCCUUAGCAUUUCCCAAUAUUAGUCAGUAUACAUUUUGCACACAUCAUUGGUCUUUUAAUUUACCACUACAUACUUAACUUGGUUUUUCUGUAGCAUUAAUCGUAAUUCAUUAUAAUAACUUAACC